AAAAAAUAGUGAGACCCACCUCCUACACCUCACCCUCUUCCCCUCUCUUCCAAUCCUCUGCCUCCAUCCUCCAUCCUCCCGGCGACAAGCACGGCGGUACCUAGCUGUCGUCCGCGCUGAGAUCGUGCAUGAGCUCUCCUCCUCCGCUUCGUCCUCUCCCCCGUUACUCCAAUCCUAGAGAGCAACAGCAAGGACCUCUCCAUCCAUCGGUGGCUUUUUACCCAUAGGAGGGGAGAGGGGAGGCCUGGCCAUUGACGCUGUCGCGAUGGAGCGCAUGGCCAAGCACUGCUGGGAUCUGUGGGACGCAGGCAGCGACGCCGGCGUUAGAUCCAGCUGGCCGGUAGCUCAUGCCAGUGGCGGAGGGGUCAAGCCGUCGUGGGAGGAACAGGUGUUCUCGCAGGACGCAGCGGAGCACCUCGGCGGCUGCUUGUGGCCGCCGUGCUCCUACAUGUGCAGCUUCUGCCGGUGGGAGUUCCGGUUAGCAGGCGCUUGGUAGGCACAUGAACGUGCAUUGCUAUGACCGUGCUCCCCUCCGGCAGUGCGACGACGACAUCGACCCGAUUCAACCACCAAUCGGCAGCAUCUGCGAGCCGCCUACUCUUUUACCGUCAACGGUAGUAGCAGCAGCAGAGUAUCCUUUUUAGAUAAUGGAAGUUUUUAUUUAACUCAGUCAAUUACAUCGAGAUGAUACAAUUAUCCUAAGAACACUCUCGGCCUAUGCAUAUCUCCUGCUACAAAUAUCCAGCCCUAAAUCCACAACUGCUCAUCAUCAUCAUCAUAAUCAGCAGCUGCAGGGCACUAAUUCUUCGUCUCUGAAUUCCUGCAUAACAACCAUCAUCAAGAAGAGCAGGAACAAGACAAGAUGAAGAGAGGGGAGAUUGGAAGAGCUGAGGAAGAUGAGGAGGGGAGUAAGAAUGACAUGUGGCCCCACCAUUUUAAAUUACUAUCUUUUUGUAACUAACGUGUGGGUCCAUGACUAUUAUUUUUCAAAUCGAAUUGUCAUGUAAGCGCCACGUCAAUGCCACAUGGGACGAAGAUCUAGUCAAAUUAGUCA